rnacentral:rRNA from 1 species
GUAGCGUAUAUUAAAGUUGUUGCAGUUAAAAAGCUCGUAGUUGGAUUUGUGGUGACAGUUGUGGUCCAUUUUUGGUACUAACGAUUGUUGCCAUCCUUGGGUGGAACCUGUGUGGCAUUAACUUGUCGUGCAGGGGAUGCCCAUCGUUUACUGUGAAAAAAUCAGCGCGUUCAAAGCAGGCUUAUGCCGUUGAAUGUCUUAGCAUGGAAUAAUAAGAUAGGACCUUGGUGCUAUUUUGUUGGUUUGCGUACCGAGGUAAUGAUUAAUAGGGACAGUUGGGGGUAUUCGUAUUCCAUUGUCAGAGGUGAAAUUCUUGGAUUUCUGGAAGACGAACUACUGCGAAAGCAUUUACCAAGGAUGUUUUCAUUAAUCAAGAACGAAAGUUAGGGGAUCGAAGAUGAUUAGAUACCAUCGUAGUCUUAACCAUAAACUAUGCCGACAAGGGAUUGGUGGGGUUUCGUUACGUCUCCAUCAGCACCUUAUGAGAAAUCACAAGUUUUUGGGUUCCGGGGGGAGUAUGGUCGCAAGG